AACGAACGCUGGCGGCAGGCUUAACACAUGCAAGUCGAGCGCCCCGCAAGGGGAGCGGCAGACGGGUGAGUAACGCGUGGGAAUCUACCCAUCUCUACGGAAUAACGCAUGGAAACGUGUGCUGAUACCGUAUACGUCCUUCGGGAGAAAGAUUUAUCGGAGAUGGAUGAGCCCGCGUUGGAUUAGCUAGUUGGUGGGGUAAAGGCCUACCAAGGCGACGAUCCAUAGCUGGUCUGAGAGGAUGAUCAGCCACACUGGGACUGAGACACGGCCCAGAGUCCUACGGGAGGCAGGAGUGGGGAAUAUUGGACAAUGGGCGCAAGCCUGAUCCCGCCAUGCCGCGUGAGUGAUGAAGGCCCUAGGGUUGUAAAGCUCUUUCACCGGUGAAGAUAAUGACGGUAACCGGAGAAGAAGCCCCGGCUAACUUCGUGCCAGCCGCCGCCGUAAGAC
rnacentral:rRNA from 1 species